rfam:Ovis aries breed Texel chromosome 1, whole genome shotgun sequence.
ACCCUGGUGGCACAGAUGGUAAAGCGUCUGCCUACAAUGCAGGAGACCCAGGUUCGAUCCCUGGGUCGGGAA